CAUAAAGAUGAAGUAUUUGAAAUAUUUGUAAAACUAUUUAAGAAAAUCAUAAGUGAAAAAGACUGUAAUAUUUUGAAAAUUAAAAGUAAUCAUGGUAUAAAAUUUGAAAAUCAAGUUUUUAAAAAAUUCUGCUCUAAAAAUAGAAUUGAUCACAAAUUUUUUACAUUUAGAACACCUCUAGUAAAAUAAAGUUGUUUAAAGAAAAAUAAAACUUUACAAGAGAUAGCAC
rnacentral:lncRNA from 1 species